AAACCAGUUCCGGAAACAUCAAUAACGGACUUCUGCGCUUCACGAGUGUCUAAUUCCAAUGUUAAGCACAUCCCAGAAAGCUACUAGUGCAACACAGUUUUGCAAUCGGAUACUCCACGCAUUGCUCGAUCUAUUGGACACUGGAGAUAAGCAAAAUGAGACGUGUUUGAGUGCCAUUGCUUGUGAUUUUUCUCAUCGCACGAAGUAAAAUUUGGAGGACCUGUUCAAUGCUCACAUUGGCGACACGUCACACAUCAAUGGAUCUUGCAAAGUUUCAAAGGGUUGCUGCUAAAAAUUGCAUCCGGAAAUCGAUCACAUUUCCCUACAACUUGCAAGAGGAAGAACGUUCCUUUCACACUGCAUGUUGCUUCGUCUUUCGAUCCGGAAUCGUCGACUUGAAACUGCCUAUAAAGGAAAUAUAGAAUUGGGACCUAGUUAUUAUGUAUCGAAAUUUGUGUCGAAUUGAUAUUUGUACUAUCGCGAAUGACAGUAAAGUUUCCCUUCAUUGAUCAAGCAGUCGAUUACCAUUAAUUUUCCUAACUCCGUGUGUUCUUGAUAUGAGGUCGGAACUUCUAGACGCUCUCCAGAUUUGAUCAAAAGCACUAUCGAUCUCCUAGCAGGCGGUGAAGAACGGUAACUAGCUCUCGAACCAUCGGAGAAGAUUUUGUCAAAGCUGCGAGACCCUCACCUUAAGCACAUUCCUUAGCAGUGAUAGUGCUUCGGAAUCGAAAAGUUCUCCAGCAACAGUUCCAGUUUUGCCAUUGGGUGCUCUUGUAAUGCCCCGGAUUGCUGAUUCCAUUUCGCUAGGUCCCAACUCAUCAUAAUUGCACAGCAUUCGUGUAGGUAACUGACAGCCAUAAAAUACGGAGGACUGUGCAAGUGGAAUAAUUCAAGUUACUAAAAGCUCCAAACGGACGCACAUUUUCGGACAACACCAUCAGAAAGGUCUUGACGAUGUUAGUAAAAUGCAUGCUGCUUCGUUUGAUGCUCUCAAUCAUCAACUGGAAGUGGCCGUUAUGGCAACAAGAAGAACGACAGAGUAUUUCAUUAUAGAAGAAUCGCAAGAAGGAAACGGAACUGAGUGCGAAAGAAGUGUGGUGUGCUGGUACUCCUGUUUGUACCAAAAACUAAUUUGUUUUGCUACUAUAUGCUGCUGCUGAAAUAACUUCUAGAUCGAUUAGAUUGAUCUUUUUGCGCUCCGUUGCUCCAUUUAUUCGAUUGAUGCAACAAUAUACCUCCUUGUCCGGCACAGCUAUACAAUAUCAGCCGAGACAUUUGGCAUGUCGUCAAACUUCCACAUCAGCAUUUUAGAGCUUCCGGUACCUAUUUCGGUUAUUCGAAACUAUAUAAUGUUGCUGCUGAGGGAUGUUCUGGCAUAUUACAAUCGGUUCCAGCUGAAGAUUAUGUAGUAGUGUAGCUAAGUAUCCGGCAACAUGAAGGUUUGAAAAAUGAUCAUUGGAUCAUACUAUAUAAUGACAAAUGAAAUGAGCCUGAAAUCAAACCAAUAAAAGAUUCUACUAGGUAAACCAUCAAA